CAGCCGCCGCGGGAAUACGAAGGGGGCUAGCGUUGCUCGGAAUCACUGGGCGUAAAGGGUGCGUAGGCGGGUCUUUAAGUCAGGGGUGAAAUCCUGGAGCUCAACUCCAGAACUGCCUCUGAUACUGAAGAUCUUGAGUUCGGGAGAGGUGAGUGGAACUGCGAGUGUAGAGGUGAAAUUCGUAGAUAUUCGCGAGAACACCAGUGGCGAAGGCGGCUCACUGGCCCGAUACUGACGCUGAGGCACGAAAGCGUGGGAGCAAACAGGAUUAGAUACCCCAGUAGUCCCUGUCUCUUAUACC
rnacentral:rRNA from 1 species